rnacentral:rRNA from 1 species
GACGAACCGUGCGAACGUUGUUCGGAAUCACUGGGCUUAAAGGGCGCGUAGGCGGGUCGUCACGUCGGGGGUGAAAUCUUUCGGCCCAACCGGAAAAGGGCCCCCGAUACUGGCGGCCUCGAGGGGGGUAGGGGCAUGUGGAACUUCCGGUGGAGCGGUGAAAUGCGUAGAUAUCGGAAGGAACGCCGGUGGCGAAAGCGACGUGCUGGACCCCUUCUGACGCUGAGGCGCGAAAGCCAGGGGAGCAAACGGG